AAGAAGGUGACAGAAUGGUUAUGUGGCUGACUUGAAAUCAGCACAUGGGGGUUCAAUUCCUCCCCUUCUCG
rnacentral:tRNA from 1 species